UCGUAACAAGGUCUCCGUAGGUGAACCUGCGGAGGGAUCAUUACAAGUGACCCCGGUUUACCACCGGGAUGUUCAUAACCCUUUGUUGUCCGACUCUGUUGCCUCCGGGGCGACCCUGCCUUCGGGCGGGGGCUCCGGGUGGACACUUCAAACUCUUGCGUAACUUUGCAGUCUGAGUAAACUUAAUUAAUAAAUUAAAACUUUUAACAACGGAUCUCUUGGUUCUGGCAUCGAUGAAGAACGCAGCGAAAUGCGAUAAGUAAUGUGAAUUGCAGAAUUCAGUGAAUCAUCGAAUCUUUGAACGCACAUUGCGCCCCCUGGUAUUCCGGGGGGCAUGCCUGUUCGAGCGUCAUUUCACCACUCAAGCCUCGCUUGGUAUUGGGCAACGCGGUCCGCCGCGUGCCUCAAAUCGACCGGCUGGGUCUUCUGUCCCCUAAGCGUUGUGGAAACUAUUCGCUAAAGGGUGUUCGGGAGGCUACGCUGUAAAACAACCCCAUUUCUAAGGUUGACCUCGGAUCAGGUAGGGAUACCCGCUGAACUUAAGC
rnacentral:rRNA from 1 species